rnacentral:tRNA from 1 species
AGUUUCCACACGGACUCUAACCGAGACUAAUGACAUGAAAAAUCAUCGUUGUAAUUCAACUACAGAAAC